UACGGAGGGUGCGAGCGUUGUCCGGAAUCACUGGGCGUAAAGGGCGCGUAGGUGGCGCGGGCAGUCAACGGUGAAAGUUCGGGGCUCAACCCUGAAUCGGCCGUCGAUACUCCCGAGCUCGAGCACUGUAGAGGCAGAUGGAAUUCCGGGUGUAGCGGUGGAAUGCGUAGAGAUCCGGAAGAACACCGGUGGCGAAGGCGGCCCUG
rnacentral:rRNA from 1 species